rnacentral:rRNA from 1 species
UACGUAGGGUGCAAGCGUUGUCCGGAAUUAUUGGGCGUAAAGAGCUCGUAGGCGGUUUGUCGCGUCUGCUGUGAAAACUCGGGGCUUAACCCCGGGCCUGCAGUGGGUACGGGCAGACUAGAGUGCGGUAGGGGAGACUGGAAUUCCUGGUGUAGCGGUGAAAUGCGCAGAUAUCAGGAGGAACACCGGUGGCGAAGGCGGGGCUCUGGGCCGUAACUGACGCUGAGGAGCGAAAGCGUGGGGAGCGAACAGG